GGGGCUGUGGCUCAGCGGUAAAGUGCUCAUCUAGUACGUGUGAGACCCUGGGUUUGAUCCUCAGCACCACA
rnacentral:tRNA from 1 species